CCUUGUCUUUAGUUGCCAUCAUUAAGUUGGGCACUCUAGAGAGACUGCCAGGGAUAACCUGGAGGAAGGUGGGGAUGACGUCAAAUCAUCAUGCCCCUUAUGCUUAGGGCUACACACGUGCUACAAUGGGUAGUACAGAGGGUUGCCAAGCCGUAAGGUGGAGCUAAUCCCUUAAAGCUACUCUCAGUUCGGAUUGUAGGCUGAAACUCGCCUACAUGAAGCUGGAGUUACUAGUAAUCGCAGAUCAGAAUGCUGCGGUGAAUGCGUUCCCGGGUCUUGUACACACCGCCCGUCACACCACGGGAGUUGGAGACGCCCGAAGCCGAUUAUCUAACCUUUUGGAAGAAGUCGUCGAAGGUGGAAUCAAUAACUGGGGUGAAGUCGUAACAAGGUAGCCGUAUCGGAAGGUGCGGCUGGAUCACCUCCUUUCUAAGGA
rnacentral:rRNA from 1 species